CUUAUUCUUCAAUUUUUCCUGCUUCUUAAUAACAGGGACAUUAGAAAGAACCAAUCGAGCAUAUCUUUAGUUUGGCUGCAUCAUUUUUCCAUGUGGACUGCUUCCCAAAAAUGAAACCAGAUAAUCUCCAGAAAACUUCAGCAUGACAUCUCAAAGUCCCCUUCUACAGGCAUAGGCAGAAAGCCUGUAGCUGUCGUAGGUCGCUAGCGAACAUCCCAGCCGCCCGUCCUCGCGAGUCUGCGACGUAGGCCAUCUCAACAUCCAUGACUGUCGUCCCAUUUGGAGGUAACCAGCUACUUCGAGGAAACGCCACACAAACAGCAAAAUCACUUAAUCCUACUUACAUUGCCUAUAUUUCUUCAAGUCUUUCACUUUGGGCUGCUUCUUCUGUCCUCUUUGGUAGAAUUGGAAAUAAAAGAAAGUCAUUAUUAUUCAGAUUAAUGUACACAAAUCAAAACAUUUUUAAGCACAAUUUUUUUAAACAUUUUCUCAUUGUUGAAGGACUUGUCUGUGAACUUGUAUAUGAUGAACAGCAAUCAAAUAAAAGGGUUUCUUUGUUGUAGACCAAGUAAAUUUGACAUUUUCCCGCUCUUAUUCUUCAAUUUUUCCUGCUUCUUAAUAAC
rnacentral:lncRNA from 1 species